CCUACGGGAGGCUGCAGUGAGGAAUAUUGGUCAAUGGGCGCGAGCCUGAACCAGCCAAGUCGCGUGAAGGAUGACUGCCCUAUGGGUUGUAAACUUCUUUUAUAUGGGAAUAAAGUGCAGUACGUAUACUGCGAUGCCUGUACCGAAUGAAUAAGCAUCGGCUAACUCCGUGCCAGCAGCCGCGGUAAUACGGAGGAUCCGAGCGUUAUCCGGAUUUAUUGGGUUUAAAGGGAGCGUAGGCGGGUUGUUAAGUCAGGUGUGAAAGUUCGGGGCUCAACCGUAGAAUUGCAGUUGAUACUGGCAUGCUUGAGUGCAGGAGAAGUAGGCGGAAUGCGUGGUGUAGCGGUGAAAUGCUGAGAUAUCACGAAGAACUCCGAUUGCGAAGGCAGCCUACUGGACUGUAACUGACGCUGAUGCUCGAAAGUGUGGGUAUCAAACAGGAUUAGAUACCCCAGUAGUC
rnacentral:rRNA from 1 species